rnacentral:rRNA from 1 species
AUGCCUCCCAUAUUGCCAUGUCAACCUCUAACCUUUUCACCCUUCCUAGCAAACCGUUGUUUGGCUAUGUUACCGCUUUGCUCAGCCCCUCUUAUAGCGUUGUUAGUUGCAGGUGAAGUUGAAGAUUGCUCCAUGAUGGUCAGGAUUAUGUUGGGAUAUCACAAUAUCUCUUAUUUAAUUAAUGCAUCUAUAUACUUGGUAAAGGGUGGAAGGCUCGGCCUUAUGCCUGGUGUUUUGUUCCACUCUUGCCGCCCUAGUUUCCGUCAUACCAGUGUUAUGUUCCUUGAUUUUGCGUUCCUUACGCGGUUGGGUGAUUUAUGGGACCCCCUUGACAGUUCGCUUUGA